AUGCCUGUCUCCUGGGGAUCUUGUUAAAAUGCAGGUUCUGAAUCAGAAGAUCUUGGUGGGGUGUGGGAUUCUGUAUUUCUAACAAGAUACCAGCUGUUGAUAGU
rnacentral:miRNA from 1 species